UUUGAUAUCUAAACAAUGUUACAGAAGAUGCGUCUUUGCAUGAAUUCCUUAACUGUAGGAACUACAUAUCUAUGAUCACAAAAUCUCACAUUCCUUGAGCUAACACUAAUAUUAAACUUAUGAUUCCCAAUAUGCAAAGAGAAAUACAAGAUCCUUAACGUUGCAUCUCAAAAAUCUACAUGCAACAUAAACUCCUCUUAGACAGUAAGUGAGCAUCUGCUUCAGUUGAUAUGAAAAAUUGAAAUGUCUGAAAUUUCAUCCCAUUGCUUCGUAUGACACUUCCUAUAAGGAUAAACCAUACAAAAAGGAUGGUUAUUUACAAGCAGGCAAUUAGAAGUUGUGAAUUUGUUCCUCAUAUUUUUUAUUUUAUUAAUUCAAGUGGCACUAAUAGCCAUUUUAUAUACGUUCCCGAGCAGAUUCACACAACAUAUAAAGUGGUGGAGGAAAUCAAGCAUGUCUCUUUGGUUUUGGGCGUUGAGUAGGUUGAAGAUUGCUUCUUGCCUCUUUUACGAGUGGUGUUGGAACCCAAGGGAGUGCCUUCGGAGAUAGUUUUGAGAGGGUGUUUUGGGGUGCUGCUGUACCUGUUUUUUCUGAUGGCUGCUGUCCACUUUUUUACUGUUUUGCGCCUCAUGUGUGCGGCUGUUUCCGGCCUGUGUGCUGCUGUUUUUUGCGCCUCACAUGUGACAGGAAGUGGUUGAUCAGUUUUAGGAGGUCCUGUGGGUUUAUUAGGUGU
rnacentral:lncRNA from 1 species